AGAGUUUGAUCAUGGCUCAGAUUGAACGCUGGCGGCAGGCCUAACACAUGCAAGUCGAGCGGUAGCACAGAGAGCUUGCUCUCGGGUGACGAGCGGCGGACGGGUGAGUAAUGUCUGGGAAACUGCCUGAUGGAGGGGGAUAACUACUGGAAACGGUAGCUAAUACCGCAUAAUGUCGCAAGACCAAAGUGGGGGACCUUCGGGCCUCAUGCCAUCAGAUGUGCCCAGAUGGGAUUAGCUAGUAGGUGGGGUAACGGCUCACCUAGGCGACGAUCCCUAGCUGGUCUGAGAGGAUGACCAGCCACACUGGAACUGAGACACGGUCCAGACUCCUACGGGAGGCAGCAGUGGGGAAUAUUGCACAAUGGGCGCAAGCCUGAUGCAGCCAUGCCGCGUGUGUGAAGAAGGCCUUCGGGUUGUAAAGCACUUUCAGCGGGGAGGAAGGCGGUGAGGUUAAUAACCUCACCGAUUGACGUUACCCGCAGAAGAAGCACCGGCUAACUCCGUGCCAGCAGCCGCGGUAAUACGGAGGGUGCAAGCGUUAAUCGGAAUUACUGGGCGUAAAGCGCACGCAGGCGGUCUGUCAAGUCGGAUGUGAAAUCCCCGGGCUUAACCUGGGAACUGCAUUCGAAACUGGCAGGCUAGAGUCUUGUAGAGGGGGGUAGAAUUCCAGGUGUAGCGGUGAAAUGCGUAGAGAUCUGGAGGAAUACCGGUGGCGAAGGCGGCCCCCUGGACAAAGACUGACGCUCAGGUGCGAAAGCGUGGGGAGCAAACAGGAUUAGAUACCCUGGUAGUCCACGCCGUAAACGAUGUCGAUUUGGAGGUUGUGCCCUUGAGGCGUGGCUUCCGGAGCUAACGCGUUAAAUCGACCGCCUGGGGAGUACGGCCGCAAGGUUAAAACUCAAAUGAAUUGACGGGGGCCCGCACAAGCGGUGGAGCAUGUGGUUUAAUUCGAUGCAACGCGAAGAACCUUACCUGGUCUUGACAUCCACAGAACUUUCCAGAGAUGGAUUGGUGCCUUCGGGAACUGUGAGACAGGUGCUGCAUGGCUGUCGUCAGCUCGUGUUGUGAAAUGUUGGGUUAAGUCCCGCAACGAGCGCAACCCUUAUCCUUUGUUGCCAGCGGUUCGGCCGGGAACUCAAAGGAGACUGCCAGUGAUAAACUGGAGGAAGGUGGGGAUGACGUCAAGUCAUCAUGGCCCUUACGACCAGGGCUACACACGUGCUACAAUGGCAUAUACAAAGAGAAGCGACCUCGCGAGAGCAAGCGGACCUCAUAAAGUAUGUCGUAGUCCGGAUUGGAGUCUGCAACUCGACUCCAUGAAGUCGGAAUCGCUAGUAAUCGUAGAUCAGAAUGCUACGGUGAAUACGUUCCCGGGCCUUGUACACACCGCCCGUCACACCAUGGGAGUGGGUUGCAAAAGAAGUAGGUAGCUUAACCUUCGGGAGGGCGCUUACCACUUUGUGAUUCAUGACUGGGGUGAAGUCGUAACAAGGUAACCGUAGGGGAACCUGCGGUUGGAUCACCU
rnacentral:rRNA from 1 species